CUCGCCCAGCUCUUGGCCUUUUGUUGCAGUGCAGAUGGUGGAGCUUGACGCAACGUUGGAGAGAAGUUAGGAUUGUCACAGCCAACAGAUGCGUCAUUAUGGGCCAAGACGUCUCGAGAUGUGACCUCUUUCACUAGAAGAAGGCUGUCAAGCUGUCUGGGUGUGAGUGAACACCCUCUAGUGGAGCUGCUGACAAGCUGUCCUGCAGAGCGUCUGUCUGUUUCUAACCAUCAGCAUUUCAAGAGGUCUACGUUCCAGCGUUGAGCAGAGACCAUGUGGUGUUUGGAUCUGCUCUUACCACUGCUGUUGAUCACAU